rnacentral:lncRNA from 1 species
AUCCAGACCAAUCCCUAUGGAGGUUAUUUCAUGCUGUGCCCCAGAAGUUACUUAAAUUCAAGAUCAGACUGAAACCUGGUACUGUUCGACUAGUGACAGCGGGUCCCGUCACCACAGGGGACCAGCCAGAGAAGAGCUGGGCAGAACUAGGACAUAACUACAAAAGAAGAACAUGAGAGGCUGAGAGAGGUGAAUUUGGAAGAACAAAUAGCAACCCUGUGGCAGAAACUCAAUAAGGU